AGUAACGCGUAGGUAACCUGCCUUGUAGCGGGGGGAUAACUAUUGGAAACGAUAGCUAAUACCGCAUAACAAUGGGUGACUCAUGUCAUUUAUUUGAAAGGGGCAAAUGCUCCACUACAAGAUGGACCUACGUUGUAUUAGCUAGUAGGUGAGGUAACGGCUCACCUAGGCGACGAUACAUAGCCGACCUGAGAGGGUGAUCGGCCACACUGGGACUGAGACACGGCCCAG
rnacentral:rRNA from 1 species